GUGGGGAAUCUUGCACAAUGGGGGAAACCCUGAUGCAGCGACGCCGCGUGAGCGAUGAAGCCCUUCGGGGUGUAAAGCUCUUUCGGCAGGAACGAUAAUGACGGUACCUGCAGAAGAAGCUGCGGCUAACUACGUGCCAGCAGCCGCGGUAAUACGUAGGCAGCAAGCGUUGUUCGGAGUUACUGGGCGUAAAGAGUGCGUAGGUGGUUCUCUAAGUUCGGUGUGAAAUCUCCCGGCUCAACUGGGAGGGUGCGCCGAAAACUGGAGGGCUUGAGUAUGGGAGAGGAGAGCGGAAUUCCUGGUGUAGCGGUGAAAUGCGUAGAUAUCAGGAGGAACACCUGUGGUGCAGACGGCUCUCUGGACCAUUACUGACACUGAGGCACGAAAGCGUGGGGAGCAAACAGGAUUAGAUACCCGAGUAGUCC
rnacentral:rRNA from 1 species